UGACUGUGGAAAACUAAUUAAUUACUUUAAAAUCUAAUUUAAAAAUAUAUUUUUAAAGAGGGCACAGUUUUGUGGGGAGCCAAGGAAGCCCUGAGUGAGUGUUUAGUGUCUGACAUGGGCAUGCCCUUGGGAAAUCAGCAAAGCCUUCCCGCUUGGUCAGACUGGGAAAGGUGAAACCUUCUAGCAACUGCAGGCUCCUCUUCCUGGGAGUUUAAAACCUGUGGGUGCUCACUUACAGACACCCCCAAACUACCUAACUCCUCUCACUGUCCUGUAGAAUACAAAUGCACCGAGCAGCUGAGGUGGUCUGCAUCACCCAUUAUAGUCCACACAGCCCAUCUGACCCCAGCGUUUCCGUGUAUGCGUCUGUCAUUUCCUAUGCACCACUGUCCUUUCUUCAUUCCCUUCUCCACCCCUACUCAGAGUUUCAGGACCGAGCCACAAGGAAUGUGGCAGGGUUCCCUGCAGUCUCUCUGCAGGACUUCAGGACUCCCAGACUGACAGGAACCUUGGUGUCGCACAGGGAAGGGAGCAAAGGAAGAAGUGGAUGUCUGUUAAGAAGGUGGCACUUUCUGAUAGGGUGUUUGAAGGUCCUGAUAAUAUCCAGUCUCAUGGGAGUCGAAGCCUGAUAAUAUCCAGUCUCAUGGGAGUCGAAGCCUGAAAGAGGUAAGAGAAUGAGUCUUGCAUAUCUUCACAUAGGGAGAUGUGGUCCAGCCCCUGGAAGCAGCCUAGACUAUU
rnacentral:lncRNA from 1 species